rnacentral:rRNA from 1 species
GGGGAGCUUGCUCCCUGGUGGCGAGUGGCGAACGGGUGAGUAAUAUAUCGGAACGUGUCCAAUAAUGGGGGAUAACUAGUCGAAAGAUUAGCUAAUACCGCAUACGCCCUGAGGGGGAAAGUGGGGGAUCUUCGGACCUCACGUUAAUGGAGCGGCCGAUAUCUGAUUAGCUAGUUGGUGGGGUAAAAGCCUACCAAGGCGACGAUCAGUAGCUGGUCUGAGAGGAUGAUCAGCCACACUGGGACUGAGACACGGCCCAGACUCCUACGGGAGGCAGCAGUGGGGAAUUUUGGACAAUGGGCGAAAGCCUGAUCCAGCCAUGCCGCGUGAGUGAAGAAGGCCUUCGGGUUGUAAAGCUCUUUCGCAAGGAAAGAAAACUUAUCUACUAAUACUAGAUGAGGAUGACGGUACCUUGAUAAGAAGCACCGGCUAACUACGUGCCAGCAGCCGCGGUAAUACGUAGGGUGCGAGCGUUAAUCGGAAUUACUGGGCGUAAAGCGAGCGCAGGCGGUUUUGCAAGUCAGAUGUGAAAGCCCCGGGCUCAACCUGGGAACUGCGUUUGAAACUGCGAGGCUAGAGUAUAGGAGAGGGAGGUAGAAUUCCACGUGUAGCAGUGAAAUGCGUAUAGAUGUGGAGGAAUACCAAUGGCGAAGGCAGCCUCCUGGCCUAAUACUGACGCUCAUGCUCGAAAGCGUGGGGAGCAAACAGGAUUAGAUACCCCUG